AGUGAACGCUGGCGGUAGGCCUAACACAUGCAAGUCGAACGGCAGCACAGUAAGAGCUUGCUCUUACGGGUGGCGAGUGGCGGACGGGUGAGGAAUACAUCGGAAUCUACUUUUUCGUGGGGGAUAACGUAGGGAAACUUACGCUAAUACCGCAUACGACCUACGGGUGAAAGCAGGGGAUCUUCGGACCUUGCGCGAUUGAAUGAGCCGAAGUCGGAUUAGCUAGUUGGCGGGGUAAAGGCCCACCAAGGCGACGAUCCGUAGCUGGUCUGAGAGGAUGAUCGGCCACACUGGAACUGAGACACGGUCCAGACUCCUACGGGAGGCAGCAGUAGGGAAUAUUGGGCAAUGGGCGCAAGCCUGAUCCAGCCAUGCCGCGUGGGUGAAGAAGGCCUUCGGGUUGUAAAGCCCUGUUGUUGGGAAAGAACAGCAGCAGGUUAAUACCCCGCUGUUCUGACGGUACCCAAAGAAUAAGCACCGGCUAACUACGUG
rnacentral:rRNA from 1 species